rnacentral:rRNA from 1 species
GAGUUUGAUCAUGGCUCAGGACGAACGCUGGCGGUGCGCCUUAUGCAUGCAAGUUGAGCGAAGCUUUUUGGUAGUUUACUACUAGAAAUGACUGAGCGGCGAACGGGUGAGUAACGCGUGAGCAAUCUACCUUAGUUACUGGGAUAGCCCGAGGAAACUCGGAUUAAUACCGGAUAUUCUUAUUUUUUCACAUGAAGUUUUAAGGAAAGGUCAGCCGAACUAAGAUGAGCUCGCGUUCUAUCAGCUAGUUGGUGGGGUAAAAGCCUACCAAGGCUACGACGGAUAGCUGGUCUGAGAGGACGAUCAGCCACACUGGGACUGAGACACGGCCCAGACCCCUACGGGAGGCUGCAGCAGGGAAUAUUGUGCAAUGAGCGAAAGCUUGACACAGCGACACCGCGUGUGGGAUGACGGUUCUAGGAUUGUAAACCACUUUCAGGAGGGAAGAAAAUGACGGUACCUCCACAAGAAGACCCGGCCAACUAUGUGCCAGCAGCCGCGGUAAUACAUAGGGGUCAAGCGUUGUCCGGAUUUAUUGGGCGUAAAGAGCUCGUAGGCGGUUCAACAAGUCGGUCGUAAAAGUUUAGGGCUCAACCCUAAAAUGUCGAUCGAUACUGUUGUGACUAGGAUACGGUAGAGGUGAAUGGAAUUCCGAGUGUAGCGGUGAAAUGCGUAGAUAUUCGGAGGAACACCAAUUGCGAAGGCAGUUCACUGGACCGUGAUCGACGCUGAGGAGCGAAAGCUAGGGGAGCAAACAGGAUUAGAUACCCUGGUAGUCCUAGCUGUAAACGAUGGAUACUAGAUGUAGGAACUGGAUUGACGGUUUCUGUAUCGUAGCUAACGCGUUAAGUAUCCCGCCUGGGGAGUACGGUCGCAAGACUAAAACUCAAAGGAAUUGACGGGACCCCGCACAAGCGGCGGAGCAUGCGGCUUAAUUCGAUGAUACCCGUAGAACCUUACCUGGACUUGACAUAUAGGGAAAAACUGGAGAAAUCCAGUGUGCGUAAGCGCCCUAUACAGGUGGUGCAUGGCUGUCGUCAACUCGUGUCGUGAGAUGUUGGGUUAAGUCCCGCAACGAGCGCAACCCCUGUCCUAUGUUGGCAGCAAGUAAUGUUGGGGACUCAUAGGAGACUGCCGGUGAUAAACCGGAGGAAGGUGGGGACGACGUCAAGUCAUCAUGCCCCUUAUGUCCAGGGCUGCACGCAUGCUACAAUGGCAAGUACAACGAGUCGCAAUACCGCGAGGUGGAGCAAAUCUCUUAAAGCUUGUCUCAGUUCGGAUAGGAGUCUGCAACUCGACUCCUUGAAGUUGGAGUCGCUAGUAAUCGCAAAUCAGCAAAGUUGCGGUGAAUACGUUCUCGGGGUUUGUACACACCGCCCGUCAAGUCACGGAAGUCGGCAAUACGCGAAGCCAGUGGUCUAACCCUUUGGGGAAGAAGCUGUCGAACGUAGGGUUGGUAACUGGGACUAAGUCGUAACAAGGUAACC